rnacentral:rRNA from 1 species
UACAGAGGGUGCAAGCGUUGUUCGGAAUUAUUGGGCGUAAAGCGCGUGUAGGCGGCUUUGCAAGUCGGGUGUGAAAGCCCUCGGCUCAACCGAGGAAGUGCGCCCGAAACUGCAGAGCUUGAGUGCCGGAGAGGAUGGCGGAAUUCCCCAAGUAGAGGUGAAAUUCGUAGAUAUUCGCAAGAACACCAGUGGCGAAGGCGGCUCACUGGCCCGGUACUGGACGCUGAGGUGCGAAAGCGUGGGGAGCAAACAGGGAUUAAGAAACCCCGGUGAGUCCC